CCUACGGGUGGCAGCAGUGGGGAAUAUUGCACAAUGGGGGAAACCCUGAUGCAGCGACGCCGCGUGAGUGAAGAAGUAUUUCGGUAUGUAAAGCUCUAUCAGCAGGGAAGAAAAUGACGGUACCUGAUUAAGAAGCCCCGGCUAACUACGUGCCAGCAGCCGCGGUAUUACGUAGGGGGCAAGCGUUAUCCGGAUUUACUGGGUGUAAAGGGAGCGUAGACGGCUGCACAAGUCUGGGGUGAAAUGCCGGGGCUUAACCCCGGAACUGCUGUGGAAACUGGGCAGCUUGAGUGCAGGAGAGGUAAGUAGAAUUCCUGGUGUAGCGGUGAAAUGCGUAGAUAUUAGGAGGAACACCAGUGGCGAAGGCGGCUUACUGGACUGAAACUGACGUUGAGGCUCGAAAGCGUGGGGAGCAAACAGGAUUAGAUACCCCUGUAGUC
rnacentral:rRNA from 1 species